AACUCCACAUACGCAUCCUUUGCUGAGGAUACGGUUAACGGAGCGAAAGCGACGUUCAACCGCAAAAGAAGCAGAGGGGGCUUAGUGGUGGGGUGACUGCGUACCUUUUGUAUAAUGGGUCAGCGACUUAUAUUCUGUAGCAAGGUUAACCGAAUAGGGGAGCCGGAGGGAAACCGAGUCUUAACCGGGCGUUAAGUUGCAGGGUAUAGACCCGAAACCCGGUGAUCUAGCCAUGGGCAGGUUGAAGGUUGGGUAACACUAACUGGAGGACCGAACCGACUAAUGUUGAAAAAUUAGCGGAUGACCUGUGGCUGGGGGUGAAAGGCCAAUCAAACCGGGAGAUAGCUGGUUCUCCCCGAAAGCUAUUUAGGUAGCGCCUCGUGAAUUCAUCUCCGGGGGUAGAGCACUGUUUCGGCUAGGGGGCCAUCCCGGCUUACCAACCCGAUGCAAACUGCGAAUACCGGAGAAUGUUAUCACGGGAGACACACGGCGGGUGCUAACGUCCGUCGUGAAGAGGGAAACAACCCAGACCGCCAGCUAAGGUCCCAAAGUCAUGGUUAAGUGGGAAACGAUGUGGGAAGGCCCAGACAGCCAGGAUGUUGGCUUAGAAGCAGCCAUCAUUUAAAGAAAGCGUAAUAGCUCACUGGUCGAGUCGGCCUGCGCGGAAGAUGUAACGGGGCUAAACCAUGCACCGAAGCUGCGGCAGCGAACGUAUCACUUAAAGCGAUUCAGCGGGUUACGAUUGACGGAGCGAAGCGACGUCAAAGCGUAUACAAAGUCGAGUCGGUUUAAGGAUACGUUCGUUGGGUAGGGGAGCGUUCUGUAAGCCUGCGAAGGUGGCCUGUGAGGGUUGCUGGAGGUAUCAGAAGUGCGAAUGCUGACAUAAGUAACGAUAAAGCGGGUG
rnacentral:rRNA from 1 species